rnacentral:rRNA from 1 species
AUUGAACGCUGGCGGCAUGCCUUACACAUGCAAGUCGAACGGCAGCACGGGAGCAAUCCUGGUGGCGAGUGGCGAACGGGUGAGUAAUAUAUCGGAACGUGCCCAGUCGUGGGGGAUAACGUAGCGAAAGCUACGCUAAUACCGCAUACGAUCUAUGGAUGAAAGCGGGGGAUCGCAAGACCUCGCGCGAUUGGAGCGGCCGAUAUCAGAUUAGGUAGUUGGUGGGUAAAGGCUCACCAAGCCGACGAUCUGUAGCUGGUCUGAGAGGACGACCAGCCACACUGGGACUGAGACACGGCCCAGACUCCUACGGGAGGCAGCAGUGGGGAAUUUUGGACAAUGGGCGCAAGCCUGAUCCAGCAAUGCCGCGUGCAGGAUGAAGGCCUUCGGGUUGUAAACUGCUUUUGUACGGAACGAAACGGUGAGCUCUAAUACAGUUUGCUAAUGACGGUACCGUAAGAAUAAGCACCGGCUAACUACGUG